CGCGCUCUCAACACAGUUGCAGGACUAAGGUUACAACAGAGAUAAGGCUGUUAAUCGGGUUGAUCUUCAAAAACCUGCUCCAGACAACAGCCAUUUUCCAUCCAUGAUUCCUAGAUUGCGUGGAACAUACACAGAAAAACACGGGGACAAGGAUAGAGUGGAGUCAUCACCUCUUAGCAAGUGAUUGAAGUUGCUAAAGGCGUUACCAGGACAGCAAUGUUUCCAGCUACAGGUGGACGUAGACUAGCUGCAGUCUCCAGCUGUUCCCAUGCUUCCUUCCGUUUUUCAGAUUCCAAGUCUAUUUUCUCCUGUUCUUCCUUGUAAUGAGAAUG
rnacentral:misc_RNA from 1 species